rnacentral:miRNA from 1 species
CGGUCCAGACGUGGCGGGGUGGCGGCGGCAUCCCGUACGGCCGUGAGGAUGCGCCGCCCACUGCCCCGCGCCGCCUUGACCG